rnacentral:rRNA from 1 species
CGAUACUGCUGUGCUUGAGGGCAGGAGGGGAGAGUGGAACUCCUGGUGUAGCGGUGAAAUGCGUAGAUAUCAGGAGGAACGCCGGUGGCGAAAGCGACUCUCUGGACUGUUCCUGACACUGAGGCGCGAAAGCUAGGGGAGCAAACAGGAUUAGAUACCCUGGUAGUCCUAGCCGUAAACGAUGGGCACUAGGUUGCGGGUGUUUCGAUGACAUUCGUUUCCGUAGCUAAUGUGUUAAGUGCCCCGCCUGGGGAGUACGGUCGCAAGGCUAAAACUCAAAGGAAUUGACGGGGGCUCACACAAGCGGUGGAGCAUGUUGCUUAAUUCGAAGCAACGCGAAGAACCUUACCCGGGUUCGAAGUGCUAGGAUUAGCCUUCUGAAAGGGAGGUGACGCCUUCGGGUGGAACUAGCAUAGGUGUUGCAUGGCUGUCGUCAGCUCGUGUCGUGAGAUGUCGGGUUAAGUCCCUGAACGAGCGAAACCCUUGUCCUUAGUUGCCAUCACUUCGGGUGGGGACUCUAGGGAGACCGCCGUUGUUAAAACGGAGGAAGGUGGGGAUGACGUCAAGUCAUCAUGGCCUUUAUGCCCGGGGCUGCAAACGUGCUACAAUGGCCGGUACAAAGGGCUGCGAUGCCGCGAGGCGGAGCCAAUCCCACAAAGCCGGCCCCAGUUCGGAUUGGAGGCUGUAACUCGCCUCCAUGAAGUCGGAAUCGCUAGUAAUCGCGGAUCAGCUACGCCGCGGUGAAUAUGUUCCUGAGCCUUGUACACACCGCCCGUCAAGCCACGAAAGUCGGCAGUGCCUUAAGUCGUGAACCCAACCCGCAAGGGAGGGAAGCGCCCACGGUAAGGCCGAUGAUUGGGACUAAGUCGUAACAAGGUAGCCGUAGGGGAACCUGCGGCUGGAUCACCU